GUGGGUAUAGCUCAGUGGUAGAGCACAUGCUUAGCAUGCAUGAGGUCCUGGGUUCAAUCCUGGUAUCUCCA
rnacentral:tRNA from 1 species